rnacentral:rRNA from 1 species
AUUGACUUGGACAAUAAAAUAAUUAUUUUAUG